GUUCUGUUAGGAAUGAAAGAGGAUGGAUGAAAGAGGAAGAAAAUCAAGGCAGGAUUUGAAUGAAAGAGGAUGGAUGAAAGAGGAAGAAAAUCAAGGCAGGAAUUG